rnacentral:tRNA from 1 species
GCCCCCAUAGCUUAACCCCAAAG